UAGCUUCGAUCGUUCGAAUUCAGAGC
rnacentral:piRNA from 1 species